rnacentral:rRNA from 1 species
UGGGGAAUAUUGGACAAUGGGGGCAACCCUGAUCCAGCCAUGCCGCGUGAGUGAUGAAGGCCUUCGGGUUGUAAAGCUCUUUUGGCGGGGACGAUGAUGACGGUACCCGCAGAAUAAGCCCCGGCUAACUUCGUGCCAGCAGCCGCGGUAAGACGAAGGGGGCUAGCGUUGUUCGGAAUUACUGGGCGUAAAGCGAGUGUAGGCGGUUGCCGUAGUCAGGUGUGAAAGCCUUGAGCUCAACUCAAGAAAUGCACUUGAUACUGGGUGACUAGAGGACCGGAGAGGAUAGUGGAAUUCCCAGUGUAGUGGUGAAAUACGUAGAGAUUGGGAAGAACACCAGUGGCGAAGGCGGCUAUCUGGACGGUUACUGACGCUAAGACUCGAAAGCGUGGGGAGCAAAACAGGAUUAGAUACCCUGGUAGUCCACGCCGUAAACGAUGGGUGCUAGACGUUGGCGAGCUUGCUCGUCAGUGUCGCAGCUAACGCGUUAAGCACCCCGCCUGGGGGAGU